GGGAGGGAGGGAGGGAGGGAGGGAGGGAAGGAGGGGGCGGAGGAGGGAGGGGGAGGGAGGGGGAGGGAGGGAGAGGAAGGGGGCAUCACCUCCACCAUCGUCCUCCCGAAAGAACUCCUCGCUGUCGUUGGCCGAGUGGGACUUCUUCAUCUCAGCGAUGCGGUUCCGGGGCACCUUCCUCUUGAGGGACGGGGAGAAGAAGGCGGGCCGGUUGUUCCGCUCGGGGGUUGGGGGGGUACUGAAGGAGGUCACCUGGAACAAGGAGUCCAA